CCUACGGGCGGCUGCAGUGAGGAAUAUUGGUCAAUGGACGCGAGUCUGAACCAUCCAAGCCGCGUGCCGGAAGACGGCCCUAUGAGUUGUACACUUCUUUUGUCCGAGGAUAAAAGCAGAUACGCGUAUCUGUCUGUAUGUAUCGUACGAAUAAGGAUCGGCUAACUCCGUGCCAGCAGCCGCGGUAAUACGGAGGAUUCGAGCGUUAUCCGGAUUUCUUGGGUUUACAGGGUUGGUAGGCGGUCUGUUAAGUUAGGUGUGAAAUUUUGGGGCGCAACUUCGGAAUUGCCUCUGAAACUGUCCGGCUAGAGAGCAGUUGCAGUAUGCGGAAUGCGUGGUGUAGCGGUGAAAUGCGUAGAGAUCACGCAGAACUCCGAUUGCGAAGGCAGCGUACCAAGCUACCUCUGACGUUGAGGCACGAAAGCGUGGGUAUCAAACAGGAUUAGAUACCCCAGUAGUC
rnacentral:rRNA from 1 species